rnacentral:rRNA from 1 species
UACGGAGGGGGCUAGCGUUGAUCGGAAUUACUGGGCGUAAAGCGCACGUAGGCGGCUUUGUAAGUUAGAGGUGAAAGCCCGGAGCUCAACUCCGGAACUGCCUUUAAGACUGCAUCGCUUGAACGUCGGAGAGGUAAGUGGAAUUCCGAGUGUAGAGGUGAAAUUCGUAGAUAUUCGGAAGAACACCAGUGGCGAAGGCGACUUACUGGACGACUGUUGACGCUGAGGUGCGAAAGCGUGGGGAGCAAACAGG